rnacentral:rRNA from 1 species
UUUCAGUGAGUGGCGAACGGGUGAGUAACACGUGGACAACCUGCCUCAAGGCUGGGGAUAACAUUUGGAAACAGAUGCUAAUACCGAAUGAAACUUAGUGUCGCAUGAUACGAAGUUAAAAGGCGCUUUGGCGUCACCUAGAGAUGGAUCCGCGGUGCAUUAGUUAGUUGGUGGGGUAAAGGCCUACCAAGACAAUGAUGCAUAGCCGAGUUGAGAGACUGAUCGGCCACAUUGGGACUGAGACACGGCCCAAACUCCUACGGGAGGCUGCAGUAGGGAAUCUUCCACAAUGGGCGAAAGCCUGAUGGAGCAACGCCGCGUGUGUGAUGAAGGCUUUCGGGUCGUAAAGCACUGUUGUAUGGGAAGAACAGCUAGAAUAGGGAAUGAUUUUAGUUUGACGGUACCAUACCAGAAAGGGACGGCUAAAUACGUGCCAGCAGCCGCGGUAAUACGUAUGUCCCGAGCGUUAUCCGGAUUUAUUGGGCGUAAAGCGAGCGCAGACGGUUGAUUAAGUCUGAUGUGAAAGCCCGGAGCUCAACUCCGGAAUGGCAUUGGAAACUGGUUAACUUGAGUGCAGUAGAGGUAAGUGGAACU